CGGAAGGGUUAUGCUGCGGCACCCGGCGGCGCGCCCCUCCCCGCCGCUCUCCCCGGCCACUUCCGGCAGCGCAGGCCGGGCACACCCCGCGGCGUGCUGCGGCACCGCCCGCGCAAACGGCGCCCGGACGCCUAAUGCGGUGACACCCUCUGCGGGGGGACGGGUUUGCAUGUGGCACCGAGGCAGCCCAGCCUCUUCCUGCGGCGGGGGAACGGCUUUGUGUGUGGCACCGAGGCGUCGUCCUUGCCGGGCCUAGGCGCGGGGGCUCCGCACCAAGAUGGCGGCCGGCAGCGGCGCCCGGACUGGGUCGGAGGAAGGCGGCACACGGGCGGGCGGUCCCCGAGCUGUGCGGCCGCACGCGCCUCCUCGCUGUCCCCUCACGCCAGGCCCGGGAGGGCCGGGCGACCCCGCGGGCUUUGCCCGGUGUCCUUGGACCUUCCCGGCUGCAGCAAAACGCACCAGAUCUCACACUUUGGCCGUCAUCCACUUUCGCAGUUUUGUUGCUCCUUCGUCCCGUUUUCUUCCCCUGGGGACCCCUUUGCAUGAAAAGCCCCGCCAGGGCCGGCACGGACCCUCCCAGCCGACCCCCCGCCGGGGUGCGGCGGCCGCGGCGUGCUCGGUAGCGGGGGCGGCCGCACCGCUCCCGCCGCCCGACGGCAGGUGUCAGCAGGGGACCGGGCACGGGGCGGCAGCCGCCGCGGUGACGGUCCGGCGGGGGCGCCCAGGGCGGCCUCGGGUCGCAGCCCGCCCAGCUGCAUCCCCCGCCACCUUCGGAAUUCGCCCUGGCGUUUCCCCCACCAAUGAAUUUCGCCCGUCGUUAAGAGGAAGUAACUAAAAAGCAUAAAGGGCUGUUUUCUUUCUAAAAUAAAAUCCCUCGGCCUGACUCGA